rnacentral:misc_RNA from 1 species
CAACUCACUUUGUCCCAUCAGCGGUAUAUCCUUCAAUUGAAUAUUUAAAAUUAUGUUCAUGGGAAAAAGUUUAAAAGUUAUUUCUGUUUGGAGCACAUGUUAUUGCCAUGUAGGUACUUGACAUCAAUAUUAAUAUAAUGAUAACAUAUCAAGCUGGCUAAAUUCGAGUCUAUCUGAUGUUCUGACUUCAUUAUUCUCUGUGAAAUAGAG